rnacentral:rRNA from 1 species
UGGGGAAUAUUGCACAAUGGGCGAAAGCCUGAUGCAGCGACGCCGCGUGAGGGAUGACGGCCUUCGGGUUGUAAACCUCUUUCAGUAGGGAACAAGGCCAGUGUUUAGCUGGUUGAGGGUACUUGCAGAAGAAGCGCCGGCUAACUACGUGCCAGCAGCCGCGGUAAUACGUAGGGCGCAAGCGUUAUCCGGAAUUAUUGGGCGUAAAGAGCUCGUAGGCGGUUUGUCGCGUCUGCCGUGAAAGUCCGGGGCUCAACCCCGGAUCUGCGGUGGGUACGGGCAGACUAGAGUGAUGUAGGGGAGACUGGAAUUCCUGGUGUAGCGGUGAAAUGCGCAGAUAUCAGGAGGAACACCGAUGGCGAAGGCAGGUCUCUGGGCAUUAACUGACGCUGAGGAGCGAAAGCAUGGGGAGCGAACAG